GGAAAGCUUUAGGAGUAGUUAACCAAGUGGAUUAAGGAAUUUCGUGGCUUUAAGCAUCCUUAGUUAAGAGUGAAAUAUUGUUGCAGGUUUGGUGUUGUGAGCUCAGGAUUCUGAAGUGAAGCAAUAUAAAGAUGUCGUCGUAGCUUAUGGAUUGAGUUUGUAUCUAGAUAAUGUAUUUGAGAUUAGAUAUUUAUAUUUCGUUGUAUACAAUAUUUGGGAAUAUUAGUCGAGAUAUCGGUGUAAUUGAAGUCUUAUAUAAAGGAUUUUGUUUUGUGGGCCAAUAACCCACAAGUUUCA